GUUACUGCAGCAGUGAUGUGUUUCCAGCCUUGUGACUCAUGGACACAAUUUAAACCACUUCAUUCUCAGUUUGGUAGUUUAGUCCUUCCAGGUGGACAAAUCUUAACCUGAGAGCGGGCGGCUCUGAUGGAUCAGGACCUGGUGGAGGAUUUUAAGAAGAUUCCAGAUGAAAAAGUCUGCUGCCCGAUCACUUUCAUCGAAGUCUGCUGCAAAAAAACCCCCUAAAAAAUGUGUGAAAAGCCCAAAUUAUUAUUGUAGCGUAUUAGGAAACUAUGUUGUGUUGCUGUUUGUGAAGUUGGUUCUUUACUGAUAACAUGAAACUUACUGAAACUUCUCUGAAGCUCGGCAGGAAAGCAAACAUGUCUCCCAAGAUGUCAAAUGAACUGGAGAGUCUGUAGUGUCAGUGUUGGAGCUUCCUCUACCUGUCUCUCUACUUCCUGGAUGGGCGGAGCCUCAGAAACAACAGAGUUGAAGCCCCGCCCCUUCUGAUUUGCCACAUGUCAUAACAACCUAAUGUCAUCAAAAAUUCCUACAGUGGCAGAGACAUUAUUUUUUGAUGCUGCUUGAAUUGUUCCACAAUUUACACAUAUAUGGUGUUUGUCAAUUUAAAGAAUUUAAGGUUUAUGUCCCGCAAAGAUACAAAUUAAACCAAAAUACCAUUUUAGUUUUGUGUAAAACUGCUCGGUCGCCGUCGCCAACACAAUCACAAUCACAAAGAGAAAAGCAUUUAUAAAAGGUGAAAACCCCAAUAAAUCUAGUAACAAACUGCUUUCCUGAGUUUAAAAUUAUCUUUUAAAUUGACAAUCAUCAUGUGUGGUGCGUUCACGGCACGAUUCAAACAGGAAAAACGUCCGUUCACUGCCAAACAGAUUGUUCCUGAAAUAAUGUCCCGCUCAUUCUCAGCUGCUGGAGAACCACGUUACUGAAAACCUUGUUCAUCAUCAAGUGUUCUUCUCUUGUAAAACCUGGAAUAUUGUUCUAAAUAAAACACAAAACUCACUUCUAAAUGUGUUGUCUGAGAUGUUAAACGUUGUGGGGCUUUUUUCUUGUUUUGACCCUCAAGGCCACCGUACGUUACGUGUUGAUCACCUUAAUGAGGCAAAGACGAUGCUGCAUUAGAGAACAUUGUUGAAAUGAGACAGAAUUGAUCAGAUUUUACUCUCAGCUCACUGACACCUGAGAGGAAACUGUCAUAAACCUGAUUCUAUUUCUUUAAUUGGAUAAACACUUAUUCUGUAGGAUACACAACAUAUCUGCAGGGUGAAGAGACACAACAGGCGACACAUCAUCAUGGUGUCAUAUUAAACUUUAUUCAGCUGUGAGGAGGCAGAGCUGGCUGAGACCUCGUCAUCGGUGUUUGGGAGACUUUACAUGUCGUUAAAUUUCCUGUAACUUGCUGGUAGUUAAACUACAUUCAUAGUUUGUGCUGCGUCAAGCAUUUCAGCUACUUUUUGGGUCAUUUUUUUUUGUAGUUUUGUAGUUUUUUAUAGAAAAAAAAAGACGUAUAUAAUGUACAUUUUAUUUUAUUUUUCUAAAAUCUGAGUCAGGACUGCUGGAAAGAGGCAGGAAGAAGGAGACUUUCCACAUUCUUCAAUGAAUUACUGAAGAAGAAGAAGAGAAUUAAUCUGCGUCUUUCUUUCAGUUUCACCUACAGCACGUUUCAGCACGUUAAGUGGGAGUGUGCAGCAUCCGAGGCCUGUAUAAAACUGACAGAUCAGACACUUUGACGCACUUUCUUGUUCUUCGAGCUGCGUUUUUGAAGAUGGCAAGUUCCUCAAACCAAAUCAGCAAAUCCCAUAAAGGGACAGUCGGUGAUGUUCGGGUCACACAGGAGACUAAAACGACCAACAUUAAGGAAACUGUCGGUGAUUAUUCUGUGUCUGGUCGAGCUUCCUCCAGACAAACUACCACGACUGUUCAGAACGAAACUCUGAGAGUCACGACAGUGGAGAAGAGGCAGACCGUCCACGUGUCGGUGAAAAACAAAAAAUGAGCCGCAGAGAAGGAUCGUGCACGCAUCUUAAACUGAGACCAGGAUCCCAGGACCUGGUGGAGGAUUUUAAGAAGAUUCCAGAUGAAUAAGUCUGCUGCGCGAUCGCUUUCAUCGAAGUCUGCUGCAAAAAAAAACAAGAAAAAACAAAAAAAAACCCCAAAAAAUGU